GUCGACAAGCAAAGACAACCGCUCCGUUGUCCAACUCUGGCACGAGCAGACUGAUCACUACGCCCACUUGAGUCUACCACUCUAGGACUAGGAAACCCCUUGACGACAAAGAAACGCCGAAGGCAGCCUCUCUCUCCCCCAAAGCUUGCCGGGGAUUGGGCACAAAACACAAUGAACUGAGUUGGUUUCACAUGCAUCAGCCUUUUUCGACGAUCGAGGAAUUUUCUUAUAUCACGGACAAAACUAGAGCCUUUUCAUGAGGUAAUCAGUCAAGGGAAGGAUCACCCCUUUUUCAAUACAAUCUAAUAUCCAAAUGCUAGCAACGCAAGGAACGUUAGCCUCCGGUUUCAACUGACCAACAAUGAGGGAGGCUUUUUUCGAGACACUUGUCAAGUUUCCGCCAGCACAUUGGAUCAUAUCGCACAGAUCUGGAGAGGGAAUUGGCGACUUUGAACUGACGAAAAUGGCUUCAUAGUCCCCAAAGAGGCACUUGUUUUUCCCACGGUACAGCGAAGCGGCAUUGGAGAAUCUCUCGAUUUGGUAGUCAUCUUCAUUUAAAAAUUUACCGCUGGCCAUCGAAUCAGUUAUCUAACAAAAAUCGAAGGAAUGUUCUUUCAGCGGUUGUUUCAUUGACAGAAUACAGAAACAUACCCAGUUAAAUGUCACGAUUUUGGCACCACGUACAACGCCACGCAUAACAUUUAAAGUUCUACGUGAAUCUCCGCAUAUUACAUGAGUGGUUGUAUCAUC